rnacentral:pre_miRNA from 1 species
UUUUUAGAAUAGAAACUCUUGAUACAGUUUGUGAGUUUCUAGGCAUAUAGAUUUUUCUAUGACUAGAAAGUUCACUUACUGUUGUACGAGUUUUAAACUUCAUU